CCCUAAAAGCUUUAUUUUUGAUAUAUUUUAAAAAAUUAAUUAUAAUUAAUAAACUAAAUAUAAAAUUAACUGGGGUAGUUACUUCAAUUAAAUUGAAGUAAAUUUUACAAUAUUAAAUAAAUGGUUUAAGUUCUUUUAUAUAAGGAAAAUUAGUAUUAGUUACUUUAGGGAUAACAGCGUUAUAUUUUUGGAGAGAUCUUAUCUAUAAAAAUGAUUGCGACCUCGAUGUUGAAUUAAAAUUACUUUAUAAAGUAGAAU
rnacentral:rRNA from 2 species